rnacentral:rRNA from 1 species
UGGUGCGGUGACGCGUCUGGUUUAUUCCGAUAACGAGCGAGACGCCUGCUUCCCAAUAGUCGCCGGUGUCGUAAUUCUGUAGGAUGGGACAGGUGGUCUGGCUUUGGAGCUCGUCUCCUUUGUCUGUCCCCGAUGAUUCCCCGUCCGAGACGCCGUGCCGCUUCUGCGAAGGACGCUGUGGAGAUUCUCCAAAUCCUCACGAGGAGAGUGCGCAACAACA